GAUCGUAAAGCACUUUCGCCAGGGAUGAUAAUGACAGUACCUGGUAAAGAAACCCCGGCUAACUCCGUGCCAGCAGCCGCGGUAAUACGGAGGGGGUUAGCGUUGUUCGGAAUUACUGGGCGUAAAGCGUACGUAGGCGGAUUGGAAAGUUGGGGGUGAAAUCCCAGGGCUCAACCCUGGAACUGCCUCCAAAACUAUCAGUCUAGAGUUCGAGAGAGGUGAGUGGAAUUCCAAGUGUAGAGGUGAAAUUCGUAGAUAUUUGGAGGAACACCAGUGGCGAAGGCGGCUCACUGGCUCGAUACUGACGCUGAGGUACGAAAGUGUGGGGAGCAAACAGGAUUAGAUACCCUGGUAGUCCACACCGUAAACGAUGAAUGCCAGUCGUCGGGCAGUAUACUGUUCGGUGACACACCUAACGGAUUAAGCAUUCCGCCUGGGGAGUACG
rnacentral:rRNA from 1 species